UUCGGAUUGUAGGCUGCAACCCGCCUACAUGAAGUUGGAAUUGCUAGUAAUCGCAGAUCAGAAUGCUGCGGUGAAUACGUUCCCGGGCCUUGUACACACCGCCCGUCAAACCAUGAGAGUUGGCAACACCCGAAGUCGGUAGUCUAACCGCAAGGAGGACGCCGCCGAAGGUGGGGUUGAUGAUUAGGGUUAAGUCGUAACAAGGUAAC
rnacentral:rRNA from 1 species